UAACGCUUCUGAAAUUAAUUUCCAGCUUCAUAGGAGUAAAAGCAUUAUGGCGUUUGGCAGUCGGUUUCUGCUGUGAUGGUUCAGAACGCUGAGGUAUAAUCUGCUGCUCUGAGUUGUGUCUUUCCCUCGUUUCUAGGCUUACAAUGUCACUACCAGCGAAGAGGUGUGGAAGGCCCCCAGUGUUGUCUUUUCUGGAAAGGAAAAAGAGAAAGCAAAGUCUUGAUAGAAGAAGGGGGAAAACGAGGAUUUAUGUGGGAAAUCAUAUUGACCGAUGGUUGACGCUUAAAGAAAAGUUGGAUUUCAGAAACGAUGCAGAAGUUGCAGGGUUUUUACUGGACCUGUAUGACAGCUAUGACCCAUUGUCAAAAGCUCCGAUCUGUUCCCUCCCUGAGGGUGUGAGAAGAAUUACUGUGAAAGAAGAAGGAGCAUUGUCAGGCAGCACUUCUUUAAUAGCAGCUGAUGGAACGUAUGACAAUGAUGGCCAGUUGUCUAAAGAACCAGAUCGUUCUGAACUUGGAGAUGUGAGAAUUGUAGCUGUGAAAGAAGAGAGAGAGAUGCCGCAUGACUGCUUGUCAACAGGGACAGAUGACACUGCCGUGCUCAACGAGGCAACCACGCCAUCAGUCGACUGCUGAUUUCUUUUACUGCAGUGUCAUCAGUAACUGAGGCAUUCACAGUUGAGAUCAGAGGAGCCUCAAAUAGGGGGACACUGAGAACCUAGGACAUUGCAUUGGCAUUGCAUGGUGUGUCCAAACCCCUCGCUAAUAUGGUGAAGUAUGUAACUAGGUGAACAAGUUGGGGUUCUGAAAGCAAUUCUGUGGUGCAGAAGAAUUCUUGGAAGCUAGGUCAGGAGAGAAUAAAUACCAGUGCCGAUGAAGCUGACAAAUUCAAGUACAUUCUUCAAAAUAGCAUUUUUCUCUGGCAAUAUAAUUUUAGUUUGGAGUGCAGCAAUAAUUGAAUUCCUGGGACUGAUUUGAUACAGGUGAGACAGAGGGUUUGUUCUUAAUUGAUUGCUUAUUGCAGCCUUCUGAGCUGUGAGAAAUAUUGCAAAAAGUUGUUUGGUAUGAAAAAAACUUUGUUACCCUGAAAGGUAAGGUAUAUGAUGCUUUUUACAGUCUCAUGAUACCUCUGUGAAGAUGCUGGACAGAUGAUCAGGCAUGUAUGCAGUGGUAAUUGUAUAAAGCUAAGAAAUGACAGCUGUCUGAUAAUAACGAGAUUCAAAAAUAAGAGUUUGAUGGGACAGACAUCCUAGGGCAUACUGUGUUAUUCUAGUAAAUAUUUACCUACAGGAGCAGUUGUAUAGCCUCUCUAUGAGGAAAAUAAUUGGGUUUUGUUGCAUUGUCUGAACACCACAUCACUGGUAAUGCUUUUGAGUUUGUUUUUCAUUCACCGUACAGCAGUGAGGUAGAGCCAUGAUGUUAUUUAGGGAUUCUUACUAGCUGUGGGAUAUCCAUACAGUGGUCAAGUCAUUUGCCCAAAGUCAUGUUGGUAGUUGAACUUGGGUCUCAAAAGUAAGACUGAACUCAAUUACUUACUCAGUGUUUUUAGAUGGGUGGGCAAAAUUCUUAACUGUUGUAGAAAAUAGAGGUUUUCCUUCGGAAAGGAACAGUGGUUAUGUUAAUGUAUACUUUUUUUUUUCUUGUUUUUAAAGGUGUGGUACUGCACUUCCUAUUGAAGGGUGGAGAUGAAGGCAGGUAUUUCCUGCUUUCCAGGCAUUUGGGUGUCAUGUUUUCCUGUUGCUGUUACUGUUUUGGGCCUUAUGGUGUACAUCUCUUUGUUCUAUGCUGCUAUAUAAGGGCUGGGAAAAGAACAAGGUCUUGUUGAAGGGGCUUUAUUAACAAAUCCUGAAUUAACAGUCAUAAAGCAUCUGUUGUAUUCUCGGCCUUUUAUGAUCUAGUCUAGUUUUAGGUUGGCUAAACACUAACUGUUAAGGAGCUGGAAAUACCAAGGAUAAUGGAGCAAGAACACUUAAACUCACCUGCUUCAUCAGGGGCUUUAGCGUUUGGUUUCUGUCUUGUUUAUGGAGUCUUGCCUGAUGAUGUGAGCUUUCAGAGUUUGUUUGCUGUUGUAGAGAAUUAAGUCGAUGGAGAAACAGUGAGGGAAUCAAGUAGCAGGGAUUUCAAGAUUCUUGCCAGGUGAAAUGGUAUGGUUUUUUGAGUUCUGGCUUUUGUGAAGAGUUGGAAUGUUGAUAUAAUAACAGGAAGAAAAGAAUGUACCAAAAUCUGAUUUAAAGUAUUAUUAGGAGGGCAUAGCCAAAGGGAACUGUUACUGAACCAUGUCCAGUUAGGUUCCUGGAUACAUUCAGUUCUUCUCUAAUGCUUCUUCUGCUAUUAACUUCUAACUUCAACAUUUAGAAUACUAACCAAGCUAGAUGCAAACUGUUUUUCUGGCUUAUGUGUAACAAGUGCAAAACUGUCAAAGCAGAUAAUAAACAGUUUAUUGUUUUUUCUUUAACAUUUGUGAUUGACAUUAAGAUUGAAGAAUGAUGAGUCAGAGUAGUUGAAUAGGGUUUUUUGAGGAAGCUUUGGGGGAUUUGGGGUUCUUUUACUUUUGCAAUAUUUGAGUGAUAAAGAUUCAAAAACUCUUCCACCUGGACCUGUAUUGAUGAGACAGGUUCUCAUGACAGAACUGACUUCCUGGGGGUUGAUUACAGAACAUAUCUUUUUUUGCCUUGAUUCACUAAGAAAUGAAACAGAAUACAAAUACAAAAUAAAUACUCAAAAGUGUCACAGCAGUUUGGUGAGGAAGACCGAAACCCGUAGGAUGAGUUGGUGUCAGUCGCUAGGAAAUUAUUAGUUGGGAAGCCCCUGCUUUGAAGGUAGGCUUCAGCUUCAGUUCCUGUCUCUCCUAAAAUGGUAGUGGCAACUCCUUUUAUAACGACUUUUGCUACGUAACUUUUUUCACAGUCACGGGAUCUUGCAAGAGUCUGUAUUGCAGAACUUCUCUUUAUCUUAACUAAUCUGUUGCCUGAAAAGUUGUACAAUUACUGUCCAGACAAGGCAGUUGUAAAGUGUAAUUCCCUAAUUUGGAAAGAAAAAAAAAACAAUUUUGAGGAAAUGUCCAGCAAGCUGUUAAUGCUGAAGACUCACUGUGACACCAGUGUGAACAGCUGAGGCAUUUCUUAGCAAGCAGGAAAGUAAAACCUAAAUUAGAUUUCAAAGGCAAAAAAACCCCCAAACCUGCUCAGUAGGACAGCUUCCUGUGCUCUAUGAACAAAUUGAUUUUCGAUGCUUUGUUUUGACUAGUCUACAUUCAGACUCUCUAAGUCUGGCCAAAAGAUGAAAAAACAAAUCCUAGUUGAAGUAAAAGACUCUGUGUGUAUUGUUUUUGGUCUUUAGUGUUCAGUUUGUUUUUAAUAAAAAAGCACAAAACACACACCCUACCACCCCCACCCCCCCCGACAAACCACAAUCUGUGGUUAUUUUACUAAUGUACCUUGAAAGUGAAUGUGUAACACUGCUUUGCCUUACAGAAACUUAAGAUUGAGUGGUUAGUCUAAGACACUUAAUUAAGUAAUUUACUUUAUUGUAAUGCUAAAUGCUGAUCUGUAUUUCAUUAUAGUGAAACCUGUGUAUAUACAUCAUAAAAACAUAAGAUGUUGGUCUGAUUACACAUACUGCACAUGCAAAAGCACAAAUAGAAUUACUGUAGUAUUUUCUAUUAUUUCAAAGUUAGAAGAUUGUAUUAGGGGAAUGUACUUGCCUAGACAUACUUUGUGAAACAAUGCAGACAUAUUUCAUAUUUAGAUAUUUGAAUGUCACAUUGUAACUAUGAUCAUUGUGUUACUUUUCAGGGUGGCCAGCAAGAAGAAAAUCAAGCUCUUGCAUAACAAUACUGGGGCAGUUUUUGGUGCAUUUUGAUUUUGCUGUGAGGGUAUUGUGAACUAUAAAGAAUUACUGUAAGUUGUAGUAUGGAAUUCCAUGUUACUUGUUGAACAGCACAUUAAACUUAAUUAUCUAAAGUUUUAUUGUGUUACGUUGACAUUAAUAAAGAGUGUGGAGC